rnacentral:tRNA from 1 species
GGCCGGUUAGCUCAGUUGGUUAGAGCGUGGUGCUAAUAACGCCAUGGUCGUGGAUUGAUCCCCAUACUGGCCA